GAUACCUUUGCUGAAGGUUCAAAGAAAAUCGGCCUUGAUGGCAGAGAUUGGGGGACUUGACCAGACGGACUUCUCUCCCCGCCCCAAAAGUCACAUGCCUUUCAGACACCCAGAAGUGGCACCUGCUCCACCUGGGGGCAUCUGUCCGAGUCAGACGCUCGGCCCCCUUCGGGCUGCUCCGAGAAACCCAGCCAGAACCACGUUGGAGAAAUUAGGAACCUGCUGCUGAAUUUCAAGCCGAUCGGAACCGCCCCGCUCCCCUUCUUCCCCCCAUAAACAAGUCGCUGGACGAGGUAUUAUUCAGAAAAGAAAUCCUUUUUUUUUUUUGAGACGCAGUCUUGCUCUGUCGCCCAGGCUGGAGCACAGUGGUGCAAUCUCGGCUCACUGCAACCUCUGCCUCCCGGAUUCAAGAGAUUCUCCUGCCUCAGCCUCCCAAGUAGCUGGGAUUACAGAUGUGCACCACCAUGUCCAGCUAAUUUUUGUAUUUUUUUAGUAGAGACAGGGGUUUCACCAUGUUGGCCAGGCUUGUCUUGAACUCUUGACCUCGUGAUCCGCCCACUUCGGCCUCCCAAAGUGCUGGGAUUACAGGCAUGAGCCACCAAGCCUGGCCAGGAAAUCCUAUUUUAAUCCAGAACAUGCAGCUUGACCAGAGAGACCUCUCAUCCCCACAGUUUCUAAAGCCUCCACUUUCCCCAUAGGGUGGCCACACCCAUAGAAGCUUGUUCUAAAAAAUAUUUUUGUUUUCAAUUUUAAUAUUAAACUCCCAC
rnacentral:lncRNA from 1 species